rnacentral:rRNA from 1 species
CCUACGGGGGGCUGCAGUGGGGAAUAUUGGACAAUGGGGGCAACCCUGAUCCAGCCAUGCCGCGUGUGUGAAGAAGGCCCUCGGGUUGUAAAGCACUUUCAGUGAGGAAGAACGCCUGGUGGUUAAUACCCAUCAGGAAAGACAUCACUCACAGAAGAAGCACCGGCUAACUCCGUGCCAGCAGCCGCGGUAAUACGGAGGGUGCGAGCGUUAAUCGGAAUUACUGGGCGUAAAGCGCGCGUAGGUGGCUUGAUAAGCCGGUUGUGAAAGCCCCGGGCCCAACCUGGGAACGGCAUCCGGAACUGUCAAGCUAGAGUGCAGGAGAGGAAGGUAGAAUUCCCGGUGUAGCGGUGAAAUGCGUAGAGAUCGGGAGGAAUACCAGUGGCGAAGGCGGCCUUCUGGACUGACACUGACACUGAGGUGCGAAAGCGUGGGUAGCAAACAGGAUUAGAUACCCCGGUAGUC